rnacentral:rRNA from 1 species
CGAAAGUAGUGGCGAGCGAAAUCGGAUGAGCCUUUACGUUUUAGCGCGCAGGAUAGUCGAACGGAAUGGAAAGUCCGGCCGUAGCAGGUGAUAGCCCUGUAGACGAAAUUCUGUGUGUGGAACUAAGCGUAAGACAAGUAGGGCGGGACACGUGAAAUCCUGUUUGAAGAUGGGGGGACCAUCCUCCAAGGCUAAAUACUCGUGAUCGACCGAUAGUGAACCAGUACCGUGAGGGAAAGGCGAAAAGAACCCCGGAAGGGGAGUGAAAUAGAUCCUGAAACCGUAUGCAUACAAACAGUAGGAGCCUCCUUGUGGGGUGACUGCGUACCUUUUGUAUAAUGGGUCAGCGACUUACAUUCAGUGGCAAGGUUAACCGAAUAGGGAAGCCGUAGCGAAAGCGAGUCCGAAUAGGGCGAAUUAGUCGCUGGGUGUAGACCCGAAACCAGAUGAUCUAUCCAUGGCCAGGUUGAAGGCACGGUAACACGUGCUGGAGGACCGAACCCACUAAUGUUGAAAAAUUAGGGGAUGAGCUGUGGAUAGGGGUGAAAGGCUAAACAAAUCUGGAAAUAGCUGGUUCUCUCCGAAAACUAUUUAGGUAGUGCCUCAAGUAUUACUGCGGGGGGUAGAGCACUGUUAUAGCUAGGGGGUCAUGGCGACUUACCAAACUAUGGCAAACUCCGAAUACCCGCAAGUACAGCUUGGGAGACAGAGCACCGGGUGCUAACGUCCGGACUCAAGAGGGAAACAACCCAGACCGCCAGCUAAGGUCCCAAAUUAUCGCUAAGUGGGAAACGAAGUGGGAAGGCAUAGACAGUCAGGAGGUUGGCUUAGAAGCAGCCAUCCUUUAAAGAAAGCGUAAUAGCUCACUGAUCGAGUCGU